rnacentral:rRNA from 1 species
AGUGAACGCUGGCGGUAGGCCUAACACAUGCAAGUCGAACGGCAGCACAGUAAGAGCUUGCUCUUACGGGUGGCGAGUGGCGGACGGGUGAGGAAUACAUCGGAAUCUACUUUUUCGUGGGGGAUAACGUAGGGAAACUUACGCUAAUACCGCAUACGACCUACGGGUGAAAGCAGGGGAUCUUCGGACCUUGCGCGAUUGAAUGAGCCGAUGUCGGAUUAGCUAGUUGGCGGGGUAAAGGCCCACCAAGGCGACGAUCCGUAGCUGGUCUGAGAGGAUGGUCAGCCGCACUGGAACUGAGACACGGUCAAUACUCCUACGGGAGGGAGCAGUCGGGAAUAUUGGACAAUGGGCGCAAGCCUGAUCCAGCCAUACCGCGUGGGUGAAGAAGGCCUUCGGGUUGUAAAGCCCUUUUGUUGGGAAAGAAAAGCAGCAGCUUAAUACCCCGCUGUUCUGACGGUACCCAAAGAAUAAGCACCGGCUAACUUCGUG